CGCUGGCGGCGUGCCUAAUACAUGCAAGUCGAGCGCGGGAAGCGGACUCGUCACCCUUCGGGGUGUCUAGUCCGUGGAACGAGCGGCGGAUGGGUGAGUAUCACGUGGGCAACCUGCCUGUAAGAUUGGGAUAACUCGCGGAAACGUGAGCUAAUACCGAAUGAAGUCUUUCACCGCCUGGUGAAAGGAUGAAAGAUGGCUUUUUAGCUAUCACUUACAGAUGGGCCCGCGGCGCAUUAGCUAGUUGGUGGGGUAAAGGCCUACCAAGGCGACGAUGCGUAGCCGACCUGAGAGGGUGAUCGGCCACACUGGGACUGAGACACGGCCCAGACUCCUACGGGAGGCAGCAGUAGGGAAUCUUCCGCAAUGGACGAAAGUCUGACGGAGCAACGCCGCGUGAGUGAUGAAGGUCUUCGGAUCGUAAAAACUCUGUUGUCAGGGAAGAACAAGUUGUGUUCUAACAGGACAUGACCUUGACGGUACCUGACCAGAAAGCCCCGGCUAACUACGUGCCAGCCGCAGC
rnacentral:rRNA from 1 species